rnacentral:rRNA from 1 species
AACAGAGGGUGCAAACGUUGUUCGGAAUUACUGGGCGUAAAGCGCGUGUAGGCGGCCCUGCAAGUCGGGUGUGAAAUCCCAUGGCUCAACCAUGGAAGUGCACUCGAAACUGCAGGGCUAGAGUCCUGGAGAGGAAGGUGGAAUGCUUGGUGUAGAGGUGAAAUUCGUAGAUAUCAAGAGGAACACCGGUGGCGAAGGCGGGUCUCUGGGCCGAUACUGACGCUGAGGAGCGAAAGCGUGGGGAGCGAACAGG